rnacentral:ncRNA from 2 species
AACUAGCCCAGAUAGGAACGGCAUCCUUUUUAUUGUUUUAGGGACAUGCCCUUCGACUGUGCUUAGGGUGAUAAAACAAUAAAAAGAUAGAGUGGAUAGCUGGAAAUAGC